rnacentral:rRNA from 1 species
UACGUAGGGUGCGAGCGUUGUCCGGAAUUAUUGGGCGUAAAGGGCUCGUAGGCGGUCUGUCACGUCGAAAGUGAAAACUCAGGGCUCAACCCUGAGCCUGCUUCCGAUACGGGCAGACUAGAGGUAUGCAGGGGAGAAUGGAAUUCCUGGUGUAGCGGUGAAAUGCGCAGAUAUCAGGAGGAACACCAGUGGCGAAGGCGGCCUGCUGGGACAGUGCUGACGCUGAGGCGCGACAGCGUGGGGAGCAAACAGG